rnacentral:rRNA from 1 species
UCGGGUUGUAAAGCACUUUUGUCCGGAAAGAAAACUUCUGCCCUAAUACGGCGGGAGGAUGACGGUACCGGAAGAAUAAGCACCGGCUAACUACGUGCCAGCAGCGCGGUAAUCGUAGGGUGCGAGCGUUAAUCGGAAUUACUGGGCGUAAAGCGUGCGCAGGCGGUUCGUUAAGACAGAUGUGAAAUCCCCGGGCUUAACCUGGGAACUGCAUUUGUGACUGGCGAGCUAGAGUAUGGCAGAGGGGGGUAGAAUUCCACGUGUAGCAGUGAAAUGCGUAGAGAUGUGGAGGAAUACCGAUGGCGAAGGCAGCCCCCUGGGCCAAUACUGACGCUCAUGCACGAAAGCGUGGGGAGCAAACAGGAUUAGAUACCCUGGUAGUCCACGCCCUAAACGAUGUCAACUAGUUGUUGGGUCUUCAUUGACUUAGUAACGUAGCUAACGCGUGAAGUUGGCCGCCUGGGGAGUACGGUCGCAAGAUUAAAACUCAAAGGAAUUGACGGGGACCCGCACAAGCGGUGGAUGAAUGUGGAUUAAUUCGAUGCAACGCGAAAAACCUUACCUACCCUUGACAUGGUCGGAACCUGGCUG